GUGACCGCGGCCUGAUCCGGAACUGGAUUUGGACAGGACACCGGCGCAUGCUCAUCAGAGCCCCUGCGUGGAGCUGCAGGGGUUUGAUCUGAUUGGAUCUGACGCAGGCCGUAGCCCGGGCGCCCCCCUCUGCCUGCCCCCCAGUCCUCAGAGCCCCCGCCGGGAAGAGGCAGGCGUGGGCAGAGAGCCGUGGGUGGAUGGCACAUCCCCAGGGGACGGCUCCUCACGAGCGACCUCGCUGGCCAGGUGCAAAGACCCCGCUCUUUCAUUCCCAAAGACCAUGCUCAAGUCCCUGGAGGUCAGGACACAGACACAGCUCAACCCACUGCAAGUGGGGUGUGCAGCUCAAAGCAGUAAGAGACUGUGUGACCAGAACCGGAGGCCAAACCCACUGUGAGCUCAAGGCCAGCCUGGAAGGCGGAAUGAGACCCCAUCUCAACAGAGGGAGAGAGAGGUUGGUGGGAGCAGCAAUCACUGCUUCCCAGCCUGCAGCUCCUGAGAGAAGCCAGGCCAGCCAUAGGGGCCACGCAGGGAGGCCCAGGAGGCAGAGGCAGGAGGAGACUGUGGAAAGCGGGCUGCACCUGCAAGGCAGAUGAGCAGGGAAGUCACCAGCCCCAGGAGGCCCAAGCAUCAAAAACACAGCAUAAAAGAUGUGAGCAAUGGAAGAGAUGACUGCACCUUCCCCAUGGGACUGAGGAGUAAGCCAGUUACUGUCCAACAAGCUCCCUGCGGUCCCUGACAGGUGGCAGGAGCUGAGCAGAGGCUGGAGCCUGACGCCACACCUCACCUCCUCCAGUGCUGAUUCAGCCCCACCCCAUUAGCACUGUCAGGCCAUCAUAUUCUACACCAGGGUACUCUUAAAACCUGUGGCUGGGGAGCAGGGGUUUGGCCAGGAUGGGCUGGUCGGGGAAGGGCAGGUGGCCCAGGCAGACGUGUCUAAUCACAUGCCCACCUGGGUGCCCAGAUGGCCUAGUAUAACGUGUGACCAGGAAGUCCUCAUGGCAGGGUCUUUUCUUCUAC
rnacentral:lncRNA from 1 species